rnacentral:rRNA from 1 species
GACGAACGCUGGCGGCGUGCCUAACACAUGCAAGUCGAACGGAGAUUUCAGCAAUGAAAUCUUAGUGGCGAACGGGUGAGUAACGCGUAGACAACCUGCCUUUUAGAUGGGGACAACACUGGGAAACUAGUGCUAAUACCGAAUGUUGUAUUUUGGUCGCAUGAUCGAGAUACUAAAGAUGGCCUCUAUUUAUAAGCUAUCACUAAAGGAUGGGUCUGCGUCUGAUUAGCUAGUUGGUGAGGUAAUGGCUCACCAAGGCGACGAUCAGUAGCCGGUCUGAGAGGAUGAACGGCCACACUGGGACUGAGACACGGCCCAGACUCCUACGGGAGGCAGCAGUGGGGAAUCUUCCGCAAUGGACGAAAGUCUGACGGAGCAACGCCGCGUGAGUGAAGAAGGUUUUCGGAUCGUAAAACUCUGUUUUCAGGGACGAAUGUGCAGCUUGUGAAUAAUGAGUUGUAAUGACGGUACCUGAGUAGAAAGCCACGGCUAACUACGUGCCAGCAGCCGCGGUAAAAC